CUACGGGUGGCACCAGUGGGGAAUAUUGGGCAAUGGGCGCAAGCCUGACCCAGCAACGCCGCGUGAGGGAAGAAGGUCCUCGGAUUGUAAACCUCUGUCCCCCGGGACGAAAAAAAUGACGGUACCGGGGGAGGAAGCUCCGGCUAACUACGUGCCAGCAGCCGCGGUAAUACGUAGGGAGCGAGCGUUGUCCGGAAUUACUGGGCGUAAAGGGUGCGUAGGCGGCAAGGCAAGUCAGGUGUGAAAUCCCCGGGCUUAACUCGGGGGGUGCAUUUGAAACUGCUUUGCUUGAGUACAGGAGAGGAAAGCGGAAUUCCUAGUGUAGCGGUGAAAUGCGUAGAUAUUAGGAGGAACACCAGUGGCGAAGGCGGCUUUCUGGACUGUCACUGACGCUGAGGCACGAAAGCGUGGGGAGCAAACAGGAUUAGAUACCCGCGUAGUC
rnacentral:rRNA from 1 species